GUCUUCUUGGCUAAGCGGCUACAGCGUGCGAUUGCAACAGCGCUGCUCCCCUGCAGCUCCCUUCCAUCGCAAGAUCCCCGGUUCGAGUCUGGGAGAGGACU